CCUACGGGUGGCAGCAGUGGGGAAUAUUGGACAAUGGGGGCAACCCUGAUCCAGCCAUGCCGCGUGUGUGAAGAAGGCCCUCGGGUUGUAAAGCACUUUCAGUGAGGAAGAACGCCUGGUGGUUAAUACCCAUCAGGAAAGACAUCACUCACAGAAGAAGCACCGGCUAACUCCGUGCCAGCAGCCGCGGUAAUACGGAGGGUGCGAGCGUUAAUCGGAAUUACUGGGCGUAAAGCGCGCGUAGGUGGCUUGAUAAGCCGGUUGUGAAAGCCCCGGGCUCAAACUGGGAACGGCAUCCGGAACUGUCAAGCUAGAGUGCAGGAGAGGAAGGUAGAAUUCCCGGUGUAGCGGUGAAAUGCGUAGAGAUCGGGAGGAAUACCAGUGGCGAAGGCGGCCUUCUGGACUGACACUGACACUGAGGUGCGAAAGCGUGGGUAGCAAACAGGAUUAGAUACCCCUGUAGUC
rnacentral:rRNA from 1 species